GACGAACGCUGGCGGCGUGCUUAACACAUGCAAGUCGAACGGAAAGGCCUGCUUUCCCUUGUGGAUUGCGGGUACUCGAGUGGCGAACGGGUGAGUAACACGUGAGUGAUCUGCCCCCAACUUGGGUAUAAGCCUGGGAAACUGGGUCUAAUUCCCGAUAGGACUGCAGGGUGGUGCCGGUGGUGGAAAACGAUUUUCUAGUGGUUGGGGAUGAGCUCGCGGCCUAUCAGCUUGGUGGUGGGGUAAUGGCCUACCAAGGCGGCGACGGGUAGCCGGCCUGAGAGGGUGGACGGCCGCAUUGGGACUGAGAUACGGCCCCGACUCCUACGGGAGGCAGCAGUGGGGAGUAUUGCACAAUGGGCGGAAGCCUGAUGCAGCGACGCCGCGUGGGGGAUGACGGCCUUCGGGUUGUAAACUCCUUUCGACCGCGAGGAAGCCACCUGGUUGGAAGGGUGGUGACGGUAGUGGUAGAAGAAGCACCGGCUAACUACGUG
rnacentral:rRNA from 1 species